CCAAAGCCCUCAUCCUCCAGCCAAGUGGACGCGGUGCUGAGCUUCCCAGAGAUGUCCUCGCGCUGCUCCUCGGUCGACACUUCCUGGGAAUGUGGCUGCCACUGGUCCCACCUUGGCCACCCACCUGCAAAAUCUUCAGCCAGAGACCGGGAGUAGUUGAGAAGCAUGCUGAGGACCUCCUCCGGGUCACCGUCACUGGGGUUUUCCUCCGGGACUCCCUGAAGAAAAGACACACUGGGGCCACGUGCCUACAGCACGGUGUGUUCUCAGGAGACUCAACACUCCCACAUACAUACAACACCCGACAAUCAUGCAAACACAAAGUCUGUUGAGGGCACUACCAAGACCACAUUUGGGCCUCAGGAGAGAAGAAAAACAACACUUGUAACUGGAUGCCCUGAGUGAAGGAGGCAGAACGUCAUCCACAACAGAGAAGCUUUAAAAUUCAUACCUACUUCAUCCUCACUCAGGGCAGGACAGGCUACAUCCUACCCCUCCUCUCCCUUCUAAUGAGAACCAAGCACUCUCACCACCUUCAGAAGUGACCACAGGAAAGCCCAGGUGAACCACCGGGGAUUCAAGCCUUUGGCCACCACAUCCCUAAACAGUGAUGGUAACAGGCCAGGAGGAAGGAGACCAAGGCCUUCCGGCCACUGCAUAGGCAGCUCUACGGGCGCACCCCAGCACUGUCCCUGCCGUCACACACCUGGGGUGCCGGCAGGGAUCCCCGCUCAGGGCUAGACUACCUCCCUACAACCUGGAGCUCCCCCGCUGGCGGGGAAAGCCUGGCCGGGAACUGAGAGAUGGUGACGCUGGAGGAGGCAGGGAUGGAAAAAGGGCACGUCUCGUUCUAAGCAUCCCUUCGGGUUGUCCCUCCCGCUCCCCUUCUCCAUCCCAUCUUCGGCCCCGCUGCCUACACAGACGCUGUGCCUGGAACGAUAAGGUUCCGCGUCGAGAAGACAGCGAGUAUUCCGAGUUCACCUAAG